rnacentral:rRNA from 1 species
UACGGGGGGAGCAAGCGUUGUUCGGAUUUACUGGGCGUAAAGGGCGCGUAGGCGGCCACCGCAAGUCGACUGUGAAAUCUCCGGGCUUAACUCGGAAAGGUCAGCCGAUACUGCGGGGCUAGAGUGCAGAAGGGGCAACUGGAAUUCUCGGUGUAGCGGUGAAAUUCGUAGAUAUUCGGCGGAACACCAGUGGCGAAGGCGACUCACUGGCCCGAUACUGACGCUGAGGCGCGAAAGCGUGGGGAGCAAACAGG